rnacentral:rRNA from 1 species
UACCGGCGGCCCGAGUGGCGGCCGUGUUUAUUGGGCCUAAAGCGUCCGUAGCCGGCUUGGCAAGUCCCCUGGGAAAUCUGGCGGCUUAACCGUCAGGCGUCCAGAGGAUACUGCCAGGCUUGGGACCGGGAGAGGUGAGAGGUACCUCAGGGGUAGGGGUGAAAUCUUGUGAUCCCUGAGGGACCACCAGUGGCGAAGGCGUCUCACUAGAACGGGUCCGACGGUCAGGGACGAAAGCUGGGGGCACGAACCGG